rnacentral:rRNA from 1 species
UACGAAGGGGGCUAGCGUUGCUCGGAAUUACUGGGCGUAAAGCGCACGUAGGCGGCUUUCUAAGUCGGGGGUGAAAUCCUGGAGCUCAACUCCAGAACUGCCUUUGAUACUGAGGAUCUUGAGUUCGGGAGAGGUGAGUGGAACUGCGAGUGUAGAGGUGAAAUUCGUAGAUAUUCGCAAGAACACCAGUGGCGAAGGCGGCUCACUGGCCCGAUACUGACGCUGAGGCACGAAAGCGUGGGUAGCAAACAGG